UACGUAGGGUGCAAGCGUUGUCCGGAUUUAUUGGGCGUAAAGAGCUCGUAGGCGGCUUGUCGCGUCGACCGUGAAAACUCGCAGCUCAACUGCGAGCCUGCGGUCGAUACGGGCAGGCUAGAGUUCGGUAGGGGAGACUGGAAUUCCUGGUGUAGCGGUGAAAUGCGUAGAUAUCCGAAGGAACAUCAGUGGCGAAAGCGGCUGCCUGGCCCAAUACUGACACUCAAGUGCGAAAGCGUGGGGAGCAAACAGG
rnacentral:rRNA from 1 species